UCCUUUAGGCAAAAGGAAACAGCAACUCUU
rnacentral:piRNA from 1 species